UAGGGAAUCUUCCACAAUGGACGAAAGUACUGAUGGAGCAACGCCGCGUGAGUGAAGAAGGUUUUCGGGAUCGUAAAGCUCUGUUGUUGGUGAAGAAGGAUAGAGGCAGUAACUGGUCUUUAUUUGACGGUAAUCAACCAGAAAGUCACGGCUAACUACGUGCCAC
rnacentral:rRNA from 1 species